GACGAACGCUGGCGGCGUGCUUAACACAUGCAAGUCGAGCGGUAAGGGCCCUUUCGGGGGUACACGAGCGGCGAACGGGUGAGUAACACGUGGGUGACCUGCCCUCAGCUCUGGGAUAAGCCUGGGAAACCGGGUCUAAUACUGGAUAUGACUCCAUGACGCAUGUUGUGGGGUGGAAAGCCUUGUGCGGCUGAGGAUGGGCCCGCGGCCUAUCAGCUUGUUGGUGGGGUGAUGGCCUACCAAGGCGACGACGGGUAGCCGGCCUGAGAGGGCGACCGGCCACACUGGGACUGAGACACGGCCCAGACUCCUACGGGAGGCAGCAGUGGGGAAUCUUGCGCAAUGGGCGAAAGCCUGACGCAGCGACGCCGCGUGAGGGAUGACGGCCU
rnacentral:rRNA from 1 species